CGGCGAGUGAAGCGGGAAGAGCUCAAAUUUCGAAAUCUUAAAGGGUUUCCCUUUACGAAUUGUAGUUUAAAGAAGUGUUUUCUGUUGAGGUUUUGGUAAAAGUUCUUUGGAAUAGGACAUCAUAGAGGGUGAGAAUCCCGUAUUUGACCUUUACUUUCAACUUUGUGAUACACUUUCAAAGAGUCGGAUUGUUUGGGAAUGCAGUCCAAAAUGGGUGGUAAAUUUCAUCUAAAGCUAAAUAUUGGCGAGAGACCGAUAGCGAACAAGUACCGUGAGGGAAAGAUGAAAAGAACUUUGAAAAGAGAGUUAAACAGUACGUGAAAUUGUCAAAAGGGAAGCGUUUGACACCAGUGUUGUUUUUCUGAAAAUCAAUUAAAGAACUGUUUAUGCUAAGUUGUUUAGACUUUAUCAGCUAACUGUUUAGUUUUGAGCUUUUCUUUAAUGCACUUUUCAGUUAACAAGUCAACAUCAAUUUCUUUUGCUGUAAAAAAGCUUGAGGAAGGUGGCUUGAGAUUCGUCUUAAGUGUUUAUAGCCUCUUGCCUAUGCAGUCGGAGAGAUUGAGGUCUGCAGCGUAGAUCCUUCGGGGCUAGAUGCAUUUGUGCUAAGUUAUAGCAUUUUAUAGACAACUUGUUGACUAUGAUUUGUCUUGUAGCUUACUCGCUUAUGUUAUUUUAUCUACGCUUAGGAUGUUGACAAAAUGGUUUUAAACGACCCGUCU
rnacentral:rRNA from 1 species